UAGCGCCCCUUCCUCCACCCACUCAGCUGCGACGUGGCAGCCGAGCGUGGGCCCCGGGGCGACGC
rnacentral:pre_miRNA from 1 species